rnacentral:rRNA from 1 species
AUGUUGUUCUACCCUUUUCAUUACCAUGCUUUCCUUGUCAUAUUGCAUUUGUGCUUCUUGUCAUAUUCCUUAUUGCCACCAUAUGUUUGCAUCAUGUGCAUUUCAUGUUGUGUUGUGCUUAUGUCUACUUGCAUUUCCACGAUAUGCAUGCAUGAUAUGUUGUUGCAUGUUCUAUGUGUGAUUCAUGCAUCACCACCUCUCCUUCUCUUUCUUUCUUUUGCGAGUUCCAUUUUACCCUCCUCCAUUAAUGUUCAACUUUCCCUCAUUAUUCUAUCCCCAUGUCCAGAACCUCUCUGCCAAAUUUCAGCUCAUUUGGAGUUGUGUUGGUUAGCUUCAAAAAUGCUCCAAGUUUGA